rnacentral:lncRNA from 1 species
GCUUUGGUUACUUGAAUGGCUAAGUAGUGUUAAGUAAGGGGAAGGCAUGGCAUCUAAAGUAGAUCAUAUUGUAUUUCCAUUCUCUAGAUGAGUUGAUUGUUCAGGAUCACACAUCAGUGUCAGAGUCAGGCAUCAGAUCAGUUCCUGAUCAUAGGCCAUCCUUGUUUAUUGAGUUUUAUUGUCACACAAAGAGCUGGAAAAUAAUACAGGCCAUCAUAGUCAGGCAUCCAAGGAUCAGCCCAUGUUGGUGUUUGUUUGAAAUGGGAACAAGAUGAAAACAAGUAUCUUAAAGACUUUCCGUAUUUUGUAUCUACUUUGUAACUUCAUCAGAAUAAACUAUAUUGAAAGCAAAAAAAAAAAAAAAAAGGUUUUCCAAAAAUCAUAUUUUCUUCUUAAAAGUGAUCACGGGAAUGCCAAAUGGCAGAACGUUUAUCAGGAACUAGGAAUUAGGAAGGCCUUGUUCAUCAAGGCAGAUUCUGUGAGUCCCAGAGAAAUAAGCUACACCAGAAUCUUAAGCAGUAUUUACUCUGCUGUGUUUUGCAAUGAAGCUGUAAUGAAAAUGUAUCUGAGGCCUACUCAGAUUUAGAUUGCCAUAAAAUUAACAAACAUCACCACUGCAGUAAAUUAAAGAACCCUACAAGUUACAAGCACAGCCACAGUCACAGCUGAGCAAGCUACAGCAGGAGCAAAAUCAAAUCUGAGCUACAAGGUUCAGCUUUACAUAUUAGGCAUGGAUUAUCUGUAGAAUUCUAUUCUUUUCCCCUCCAGAAAAUGUUCUUUGAUCUUGUAUCUCUGUUUCAUAGAUUUGGAAAUUUAAUGAAUUUUGGGAUAAUCAUCCAACUUCAGUUAUAAAUGUUUCUGAAAUAUUACAUACUGGCUGUGUGUUACAGUGAGGGUUUUUUAAUAUUACCAUCAUUCAGCAGGAAACAAUACCAUUCUACUUUGGUCUCAUUGAUCUGACACCUAGUUGGGAUUUGAUAGUUUUCCAAGGCUUUCAGCAAACACCUUGCAAUACUUCAUCUUGAGUUUAUUGCUCUUUUUUGUUGAGAGACAAGCCUCCAUCUUCUUGAUUAGCUACAAGUCUUAGAAAAUACCUUUACUGUAUUUUUCAAAUAUGUACCUACGACUAGAGUCCCAGAUGUUAGAAUAGAUGAAUUCUGAAUGAACAUAAGCCAUGGGUGCUAAUGAGUCUGGUUUGUAAGAACUGAAGCUCUCAGAUGAGCUGUGCUUUCUUGGUUUCUCUACCUUGCUACCAAAAGAGAAUGGACACACUGGUUUUGCAAAUGAAAUUUGACCUCAGUGUUUGUCCUCAGUUGAAGAGGAAAAGAUAUAUCAUGCUCAAUGCAGCUCUUCCACUCUGCUUGUAGCAGAAGAAAUGCUUGUAUACAGGCAAUUCAUGCUGUAAUUUACAGCUGCUAUAAUAGAGAUGACACAUUGAAAGCUAUCUACUAUAAUUAUAUUGAAAUACAUUUUUGCUGAAGGCAAAAAUAUUGUAAGGUUCCCAACCUUUCUUAAGCAACUAGAAACCUGCUCCUUGAAUUCAUCCUGAAUCCACUAAAGCACUAGAACCAGACAAAACUGAAUGCACUAAAUCCAGGUACUGUUUACAGUAGCAAAAGGCUACAAAGAACUUGAGACUCCUGGGAAAUGGAGGGUGGAAGAAUUUAAGCCAAAGUAAAGGCUAUAUUUGUGGUUUUGGACUAUCCCUAAGUUAUAUAUUUAAAUUUGCUGGC